rfam:Erinaceus europaeus unplaced genomic scaffold scaffold00090, whole genome shotgun sequence
GGCCGCCACCCCCUGUAACAGCGACUCCAUGUGGAAGUGUCUUUCUGUGUUCCAGUGGGGCUGCUGUUACCCAGGGUGCUGGC